rnacentral:rRNA from 2 species
UGGGGAAUAUUGCGCAAUGGGCGAAAGCCUGACGCAGCGACGCCGCGUGGGGGAUGACGGCCUUCGGGUUGUAAACCUCUUUCAGCAGGGACGAAGCGAAAGUGACGUACCUGCAGAAGAAGCACCGGCCAACUACGUG